GACGAACUCGUGAUUUGGCCUAUUUGGUCUUAAACUAAAUAAAGUUGAUCAACCACGACAGUGAAGACACUAGCAGUCUACAAAGAAUAUCAUCCAACAAACUGUAAAGAUUUUUUCGAAGAUCAUUACAAUAUUUGAAUGAUGCUGAUUUGCAUGAUGACAAUGAAAUUGAACCAAAGAAAUGUCAUGGAUUCCGAUAAUGAUCUUGUAGAAAGUGGCGAAGAUAUGGUGGACGCCAUAUAUCCAGCAAAUUAUGGAGCCCCAGGAGAAAUACGUUAUGAGAUAAAAAUACUUCAUAUUCCAAGAAAAAGCUGUAAACAAGAGUAUGGAAUGGACUCGACGUGGAAAGAUUCAAAUGAUGGAGGUCGUGAAAAUAUUGAACACGAUUUCCUAAAACGUUUGAGGAAAAUAUUUUCGAAGAUUAUUACAGCAAUUAACUCCUUUUUUUAAUAUUUUUUAAUAUUACUGUCAUCACAAUAAUUGUGUACAGAGAUACAAAUUAUUUAUUCUUUCAACUGUAAAAUUACAAGUAUACUUAACCAUGUAAAGGCAGUUUUGGUAAGAAAAUUUAAGGGUCGUCAAUGGUUUGUUAACCAAAUGCACAGGUAUAGAAAAUAUUCCUUUGCAUUAGCCACAUUGACGACAAUUUUGACUAAAGGCCCUGUUACACGGUGCAAUUUUUCUUGCAACUUGCAAUGCAAUUCUAUUUUUAAGAGAUUUAAGUUAGUGAAGAGUUAUUGUACGAAGCGCCCUGGAGUAAAAAAAGACAAAAGUUCUGUAUAGUUACCAAAUUUACAUAAUUUUA